CUGAACCAGCUUCUCGGCGCCAUUUUGUCUGGGCAGCGGUGGCCGCAGCUCUAUCGCAUAUUAGGUUUCUGGCGAGACAGGAGGGGAAUCUUUAUCCCGUGGAUUCGUGUAACUGCGGCAGCCAUCCACCGUUCCCUCCAGGACAGCACCUAGUGAAGGUCAGAAGAGUCUCGGUCUAUCAGAAAGUUGAUCUAAAGGAAACAGGACAGCUCCGUGACAGACAUCCGGAAGUAUUACUGAGAGGAAGCCUCGCUUUGUGGAAAAAUGAAGGAAAGUGUUCCAGUUUUUAAAAGACCUGGAUCUGCUAUCUGUUGAAAUUGUAUUUCUGGUUCUUUUGUGAAUGACAAAUGAAAGCAGAUGGAUAGUCUUAUCAGAUAAGUGCUUUUUUAGUCUGAAUGUGCUGAGGGUGAGUCAAAAAUUAUCCUCACUCUGGUUAUAUUAAAACUUCUGUUGGCCACACUGUCUUAACAGUGCUUUCCGUUCAAGGCUACUGUCUCCCCAGUCACCGUUACAUCAGUUCAUUUGUAACUGAGGUUCGAGCAAAAAUGGAUGCCCCGCUUGUGAUUUGCACAAAAGAAGAACAGCGUGCAGUGAUUCAUUUUUUGUGGUCUGAGGGUGUACCUGGUGCCGUUAUUUAUCGAAGACUUCGUGCGCAGUAUGGAGAAAGUGUUUUGUCGCGAAAAACUGUGUAUGAAUGGAUAGAGAAGUUCAAGGAAGGUCGCACAGGUGUUAGCCAUCAAGAAGGAGCCGGACGCCCAUCUACGUCCAUGGAUUAAACGCAGAGGAUUGCUAUCCAAGGGCAUCAUGAUCUUGCAUGACAACACACGUCCGCACAUUUCUGCGCACACGGUCAACACACUGCAAAAACUUUGAGGUGUUAAAACAUCCUCCCUGUAUGUAGUCCUGAUCUUGCUCCAUUGGACUUUCAACUGUUUGGUCCCCUGGAAGAAGCCCUGUGAGGACAAAGAUUCUCUUCUGAUGAAAAAGUGAAGACAGCAGUGCAUUUGUGGCUCGCAGCUCAGCUUAAAACAUUUUUUAAUGAGGGAAUACGAAAGCUUGCUGAUGGACAAAAUGUAUUGAAAAGCAAUGAAAUUAUGUCGAAAAAUGAUGUAUUUGUCUUUUCUAAAAGUUAAAUUCUACAGCCAGAGUGCAGAUAAUUUUUGACUCACCCUCAUAUUUUUUCCAUAAGAUGGCUCUGGUAAUGCUUAGUUAUCUUUAACUUCAUUCUAAACAAUUUUGUUUAAUUGUGUUGACAGCUAUCAUAUCAGUGUGCACUUUUUUAAAAAUUAUCAAAAUUGGUGACUUUUUGUGUAGCCAUUUUAAUAUUGCAGAUGGAAGGGAAAAAAGCAAGUUAAAAUCAACUGAAAUGCAAAGAAAGAUUUGCAUGGUUUAUGGAGAAGGUGCUGUAACUGAUUGAACGUGUCAAAAGUGUCUGCAGAGUUCCGUGAUGGAGACUUCUGGCUGGACGAUGUUCCACGGUCAGGUAGACCAGUUGAAGUCGAUAGCAAUCAAAUUGAGACAAAUUGAAAUCAGUGCUAUACCACGCAGGAGAUAGCUGACAUACUCAAAAUAUCCACAUCAAGCACUGAAAAUCAUUUGAACCAGCUUGGUUAUAUUAAUCACUUUGAUGUUUGGGUUCCAUGUAAGUUAAGCGAAAAAAACCUUCUUGACCAUAUUUACGCAUGUGAUUCUCUGCUGAAACGUAAUGAAAACGUUCCAUUUUUUUAAAACAAAUUGUGACAGAAGAUUAAAAUUGGAUACUAUACAAUAAUGUGUAAUGGAAGAGAUGUUAAGGAAAAAACCUGAAUGAACUUUUUGACCAGUCCAAUAUUUGUAAUCUCUAAACCAAAACCUUAUUCUUUAAAACAUUUCUUUUCUAGGUACCGGUAUCGAGGUUUACAGUAAUAAGGUAUUCAGUCUUUUCUGAAAAUAAAUUUGUAAUCUUGUCAAAGUAAAAUGCACCAGCCUUUUUUUCCCCCAGAGAGACUAAUCAUACCUCAGUAGGGCAGCUACAGUGUCCCUACAGUUGAACCUAGAUUAUUAUUAAUCCUCGGUAUAAUAUGUGUGAAAAUCAAUUCCUUUUCUUCUAUAAUAGCUGAAAAGCUAGGUGUAUCUGCUUAGUUUUAGAUUUAUCUCAUGUAUGUUUUUGAGGUGGCUUAGCUGCUCAAAUUUAAGUUUCUUUAGAACCAUGUUCCUUUUAAAGAGGGUUAUUAGCUAUUCCAAUGUGACUUUAAGAACUCACAGUACAAUGAAAAUAGAAGAUUCAUGUGCCAUUCAUACUUUGAAAGUUGGAAAAGUAUAUAGAAUGGUCAGAGACUGGCUUAUUUGUCCAAUUUAAUGUUGUUUCGGUGUUUGUCGAAGGCCACUGGUGUCAUUCUGAGUUAAAUAUAUGAGUUGUAAAAUGUAGCAGGUAAUUUUAUAUAAAAGCAGCCAUGGUAAUGAGAUUCUGGUUUUGAGUUGUUUGUAUAGUAGUUAACUAUUCUCGUAUGAUUCACUGUUUAAACUAUACAGAUGCUCAAAGUCCAACAACACUCUGCUGCUAAACUCAGUGACUGUCUCAGGAAAGCAUGACAGUUGAAUGGAGUAAUACUGGCAUGAGGCCAAUGAAGGGCGUGUGUAUACCUGGCAUACUUGGCCUGAGUUCAAAUUGUUUCUUCCUGCUGUGAGUGCUACUGUUCCUUGAAGGCCACAAUACUGAUUUUUCCUCUCAGUAUCAGUUCUGUUUACAGAGCACUUCUACAUGUAUUCUGAUUUAUUUUUUAAGCAUAAAGUAUGGGUAUUUUUAUUUGAACUUUACAGAUCAAGAAAUUUGACAGUAAAAUAGGGACUUUGUGAAUCCUUAAAUCCACUGCUCAAAAGAAAAAUAAAAUUCUGAUGGUUAACAGUGGCUGAUGACCAACAAUCAUCUCACUGAAUACAAAACUGGAUAGUGGCAUUAACUGCCUAUGAAGUUGGUAGGUACUUUUUACACAACAGCCCAGCAGGAUAUAACCUUUAGAUUAUAAAUGAGCGAUGAAAUGGAGUUUUGAAUUAAUCUGAUUCCAAAGCCUGUGUGUGCAGUGUUUUAACUAAGGAAUUUUACAACAGGCAUAGAGCUACGUCCUA